GGGUCCGCCGCCGAAUUGCUGCGGAGGUUCACACGGAAGGUCGGGCCGCCUGCCG
rnacentral:ncRNA from 12 species